GAGGCCUUGAAAGUGCACACAUCAAUGCUUUACCGUCUCUCACUCUCCCCUCGACGCUUGGCUUUCCAUUGUCUCUUCACGACCCUUCAUCAGUUGCUUUGCCAUCUCUCACCGGCCACUCCAUCUUUCACUUUCCUUUGUCUCUUCACUGCCCCACAUUAAUUUCUUUUAUUUCCUUUCCUCAUUAAAGCACACUUUUUUUUUGGCACUGGAAGGAUUUGCAUCCAAGGGUCGGUGGAUGCAGCCUAUGAUUCUUACUAACAAUAACAUUGGCGUCGGAUUAUGUUGCUCCCAUCGGCGACGAAACAGUUCUCGCUGGCGAAGUCUUCAACGUUCCACGACGUGCAAACACGAAAAGGGUUUCCGUGAAAUCAUGUGCGGCUGCUUCCAUUGUUUGUGUUGAGUUCUUCCAGGUCGUGAAUGAGACAUUGUACAAAACAAUCACUAUAACAUGAAGGCCUUGGUUAAUUGAAUGGUUGAUGAUGAUUAUUUUCCAGAUGUGAUGCUAGAAAAAAGUGGUUUGACUAAGCUUUGCAGAGAGUUUCAGUGGAGAGUGACUCGGUGGUCACUGAUGUUCUUGCUUGCGAUGGUGUUGAGUGUGGCUUCGGCCGCAUGAUCGCCGAGCUUUGAGGAGUCGGACCAAAUCUGUUCGGAUCUUAAUCUGCUCUGCAAAUCUGUUUGGACCUCUAUGCCUUUUCAUGUAUUCCAGAAGAAAGAUUAUGCAUUCCCCGGGGUUCAACUUUAUGCAUUGCACUGGGUACAACUUUUCUGUCUCUCUAGCUAAUCUAAUUGCUCCUCUUAAUAAUGAUUGAUUGGGUUAGUUAUUCCUUGCUUUUUGUAUACUUUUAAGCUCAUAAGCAAAGUUUGAAGCGAUAUUUUUUAUAAUUGAACCAGUCGAAUUUUUAUCAGAUAAAUAUUGAGUGUGUGCAAUCUCUUAUUUGAGCCAGUGAUUAACCUGCAGAAAUUAAAGACUAUUAUUUUAGGCAUAGCGAUACAAAUUCAGCCAUUUCAGUUUGGGCAACGACUUUAAGUUGUUAAUCGUUGAUUUGUUAUCCCUUUUGCUUAAAUUGUUUACUCAGAUCCAUUUUGACAUGUUUUGAUUCAUGUGGAAUGACUGAAGCCGAACUGAUCCAAAUUCUUUGUGCUUGGACUUUACUUUAAUUGCAAAUUGUCACCUCCUUUCAACAGCGGCAGUCGAAGAGAAAGAAGGCAAGGAGCAGAAAAAGAAUGUGCUAAUAAGUAAUAAAGCUACUGCAGCUCUCGCUUUUAAGGACAUAAGGUUGGGCAUUAGAAAAACUCAUGUUGCAGUACAUUUUUAUCAAGAGGUGCUGAAGUUUUUACUCUUGAAAUCUUGAAGUAUGAUUUAUUUCCUCGUGAGUGAUCAUUCUUGAUGCUUGGAUUUGGAUGAGUUAUAGAAAAUCAAUGUUCAUGUUUA